UGGGGAAUUGUUCGCAAUGGGCGCAAGCCUGACGACGCAACGCCGCGUGGAGGAUGAAGAUCUUCGGGUCGUAAACUCCUUUCGAUCGGGAAAAACGCCUUCGGUGUGAACAACACCGAGGGGUGACGGUACCGAGAGAAGAAGCCCCGGCUAACUCUGUGCCAGCAGCCGCGGUAAUACGUAGGGUGCAAGCGUUAAUCGGAAUUACUGGGCGUAAAGCGUGCGCAGGCGGUUCGGAAAGAGAGGUGUGAAAUCCCAGGGCUUAACCUUGGAACUGCACUUCUAACUACCGGGCUAGAGUACGUCAGAGGGGGGUAGAAUUCCACGUGUAGCAGUGAAAUGCGUAGAGAUGUGGAGGAAUACCGAUGGCGAAGGCAGCCCCCUGGGAUGAUACUGACGCUCAUGCACGAAAGCGUGGGGAGCAAAC
rnacentral:rRNA from 1 species